GGGCGAGUAGCUCAGCUUGGUUAGAGCACUGGUCUUAUAAGCCAGAGGUCGAGAGUUCAAAUCUCUCCUCGCCCACCA
rnacentral:tRNA from 1 species